AAAGCAAUAGGCAUCAUGAGCUCCUACAGGAUCCGGUCUUUUUCUUCUUCCUCUGAUUCUGACCAAACACCUUGCGCUCCUUUGACCCUAAAUAAUUAGUGGUUAGUCUCUGACUUCACCAAACUGUUACUGUAUCAUAAUACCUUUAAAUCUUCCUCUCACUUAAGGAACAGCUGGACACCGCCUUUUUGUCGGUUGGCUGCACAUGGAGAAAGAGCAUCAGAGAGUGCCUAACAAAGUGUCUGGACUUCACGUCUCUUACCAAACUAACUCAGCACAACUGGCAGAGAACAGAUCUUACAGCUAUCUCCACGAAGAGCCUAUGGAUUUGCCUGAAAGUCUACAAGAGCUCUUCUGGGAGAAGUCCACCUAAAGGAAGACAAGAUAAAGCCCGGCCUGGCUUGCCAGAGGACAGGGACCUGGACAGUACAGAGCCAGGGUGAAAUGCACAACGCCAUUGGGCAGCCCUGAUCACCUCCCAGAAGCAUCUAAAGGAAGUUUCAAAGGUUGCUGGAUCAGCUUUUCUGUCCAUGUGCACUUCUGGCUCUAAGGCAGGACACAGCUCAGAUCACAAGAUGCUAUAAAAUCAAGAGACAAGGAAUAACAUGGACAGGGUACAUAAAAGCCAUAAUAUCGGGCAGCAUCCAGUUUGAAAUGCCAACACAAGCCAACAUCCCAAACUACAAUGGUAGAUGGGGACGGGGGAAAGGUCUUAAUUAUGGGAAAGUGGUAUUAGCAGAUUAGGCAGCAUUCAAAUGGAUUUGGCAAUCACAAAAUGUCAUCUUUAGGUUCUUGUAAGGAAGGGAAAAUCCUACUUCCAAACCAAUUCAAUGUAGCUUAAAGGCAAAAAAUAAAAAAUACAAAACAGGAGAUAUUUCAUUAUUUUUAUUUUUUGUAAAUAAGGAUGAAAAGUGAAGAAAGAAGAAAUAAGGAACAAGCUGGGAGAAGCCUUGAUUGCACCUGGGGAAACUUCAAACCAACCUGUCAC